CAGCAGCCGCGGUAAUACGUAGGGUGCAAGCGUUAAUCGGAAUUACUGGGCGUAAAGCGUGCGCAGGCGGUUAUAUAAGACAGAUGUGAAAUCCCCGGUCUCAACCUGGGAACUGCAUUUGUGACUGUAUAGCUAGAGUACGGCAGAGGGGGAUGGAAUUCCGCGUGUAGCAGUGAAAUGCGUAGAUAUGCGGAGGAACACCGAUGGCGAAGGCAAUCCCCUGGGCCUGUACUGACGCUCAUGCACGAAAGCGUGGGGAGCAAACAGGAUUAGAUACCCCCGUAGUCCCUGUCUCUUAUAC
rnacentral:rRNA from 1 species